CCUCUCUUACUGUAUGAGGUUAGUUCCAAGAAGCCAGAGCUUUCAUCCAAUGAGCCCCUAAGAAAAUCUGGAUCAAGUUGCAAAUAUCUAAAUUCAGCAAUAAACAAAGGCCUAUAAGCGAAUAGCUGAGACAACAGAAAGUUACUACCCAUUACUCAAGAACUCAGAUCAACAGAUUUUCAAAUUUCCAGGAGACAUAAAACAUCAUGUAUUGUGAUUAGCAAUAAAACUGACAGAUUUUUACAGG